rnacentral:rRNA from 1 species
CAGCAGCCGCGGUAAAACGUAGGGGGCAAGCGUUAUCCGGAAUAACUGGGCGUAAAGGGUGCGCAGGUGGUUUAACAAGUUAGUGGUGAAAGGCAUAGGCUCAACCAAUGUGAGCCAUUAAAACUGUUUAACUUGAGUGCAGGAGAGGAAAGUGGAAUUCCUAGUGUAGCGGUGAAAUGCGUAGAUAUUAGGAGGAAUACCAGUGGCGAAGGCGACUUUCUGGACUGCAACUGACACUGAGGCACGAAAGCGUGGGGAGCAAACAGGAUUAGAUACCCGCGUAGUCCCUGUCUCUUAUACA